GUGCUCGCUGCGGCAGCGCGCACGCUAACGCUGCGACAAUGCAGAGAAGAUUAGUGUGGCCCUGUGCAGGGAUGACACGCAAAUUUGUGAAGCGUUCUGUAUUUUU